rnacentral:piRNA from 1 species
UUCAUUGUUUCUUCGUUUUUG